ensembl:lncRNA
GGAACGAUGUAUAAAACUUACCCAUGGAGCAUUUAUUUACUGCUUAACUGGAUGUGGGUGCUGGAACACAGCCUGAGUGUGGGUCGGUGUGAUGCUCCACUUCCCAGCUGUGUUGGCAGACCGAGGGAGGAGCAGUACAGGACACCGAGGGGAGAUGCUGCAUCCCCUUCACGAACAAAACAGAAACUCAGUGACUGAAAACAGCAGCAUCUCCUUCUUUUAUACAGCCAGCAGUGGAACAGUCUUCUAUCGAUUUCCUCUGCAUGUCAAUAUCACAGUAGAAACAUUGCAAUAGAAACAGCCUUUUCUUUUUAACGUGCAUACAAGCAGAGCAACAAUUUAAAACAAGUAAACAAAAACAAAUAAAAACCCCUCCUGUCUUGAGAUGGAUCUUUCAGCAAUUUGAUCUAAACCUGUAAAUACUCCUGUAGAUAAAGCAACGUUCUGCCCAAGGAUGAAAGCUGUAGAUGAGAUCUGUCAAAGCAAAGAACUGAGGAUCCAGCACACCUGGGGCUCAGGAGCAGCCUUAAUGAGGAGCAGAUCUCUGACUGCGGUGUCUAUAAACAAGUUGGCGAUGAGCAUGUUGGCAGCAGAAAGCUGAAUCAGCUAAGGACUGGUCCAGACUUUGAACCAUCAUCCAGCGUGGUGGGACCUUCUCUUGAAGCAUUGCCACUGUGAAAACAGUACACAAUAGCCAUCGUAUGCAACAUAUGGAAAGUUGUGAUAAGAAUGUCUUUCAAGCCUCUUAAUUAGAUGUGAUUUGUUGGCCAAAGGAGCACUUCAGAGGUGAGCAGGUCUCGAAGUGACUUCACAGGCAAUUAGUCCCGCGAGGCUCUAAGUAUUAACGCUGUCCUUUGUGCGGAUGAGAUCUGAAGGAAAAAGAGCCUAAUUGGCUGAACGAAACCCAUUAAAGUAAAUGGGAUGUAGGACCUGUGACUUUGAGUCUGCUCGCGGUGGCUCGGAGCAGCAGCAUGCCAACGUCCCAAGCCCUUCUCCAUCCAUCUUUCUCUCGGGCUCUGGUGCUACACAUAUCUGGUACAGAAGAGGAGGGAAAAGAGUCACUCUGUCACUGUAGGAAGAGAAGGAAAAGCCUUUGGAGAGCUUGAAAACGAAGACUUAAAGGUGGGCAGUUAAAAGGACAAACACUGUCGAGCAAAUCUGUCGCAGACCAAGAUGCUCACAAUGUGCUGCCCCUUCUGCAGUGGAACAGCGACAGGACAGCCCAUGUUUUACACUGAACUCCUAUUUAGAACAGCUGCUCCCACUUCCUUUCAGCUGAAACGAGGGGAGUGGAUUCCAAUGUGUGUUGCUUCAGGAGAAAUCACAGCCUGAUGCUGUUGGUGCGAACUGCCCACCUCUCCAUCAGCCUGGCCAGAAAAUUAAGGAAUGCUUUGUUUGAGUGAAUCCCUGUGUUUCAGUCUCUCUAAACGAGCCCCUGUGCACAGCCUCCUUUGGACCCACGUUUUAUGAGAGAGGUGAGUGGGAAGGAGGUAAUGCCCCUAUAGCCAUAGCCCCUGGACUAUCCUAAACAGGGAUCAGGAGCUGCUGCUGGUG